ACUUACUCUUUCGGAGUGAGAGCGUACACAGGUGCUGCAUGGCUGUCGUCAGCUCGUGUCGUGAGAUGUUGGGUUAAGUCCCGCAACGAGCGCAACCCUGCAUUCAGUUGCCAUCGGUAAGGCCGGGCACUCUGGAUGGACUGCCGGCGACAAGCCGGAGGAAGUGGGGACGACGUCAAGUCAUCAUGGCCCUUAUGUCCAGGGCGACACACGUGCUACAAUGGCCGGCACAACGGGAAGCGAAGGGGCGACCCUGAGCGGAUCCCACAAAAGCCGGUCUCAGUUCGGAUUGCAGUCUGCAACUCGACUGCAUGAAGUUGGAAUCGCUAGUAAUCGUGGAUCAGCCAAGCCGCGGUGAAUACGUUCCCGGGCCUU
rnacentral:rRNA from 1 species